CCAUAGCAGCUGCAGCAGCCAAGUGCUGGAUUAUACGCUCUUCAAGAUCAGAAUCACUUGCACCAACUGGUACAUGUUGUAAUUCAAAAUCCCCAAGUGUAGGAUGACGAAAUAUAGCGGCAUUUCUAGGUGUAGCAGCUCUGAUUUUCCUCUCCCGUUCUACUGCCUCCAGCAAUUCUCGACUUGUGGGAUCCUUCAGACUGAUAGCUUGCAAACACAUGGGGCACUGAGAGCUUCUCUGGCACCAUUCAAGGAUGCAUUGGAGGUGAUACUCGUGCUUGCAAUUAGUCACCGUUGAAGGAUUACUUUCGCAAAAUUCCUCAAGGCAAAUACUGCAAGCGUCUUCACACGAAUCCUGAAUUCCUCCUUCCACAAAAGCUGCAACUGAUGUCAUAUGAGUUUCAGGUUUCUUGACCUCCUCCAUCUCCGGAACCUCCACAGAGAAAUUGGAAAAGCUCCAGAUAAUGGGUGAAGAAAGAAACUCAAACAAUGCCCAUGAAAUGUUUGAAAGAUCAAAUCUUUUUGAGUUAUCCCUUUGGAAGGGAAAUGGUGCUGGUCCUAGAGAACCAUGGAAACCCUAGAAGUGAGGGAAGCCCCUGAGGAUGAUAAAGGGGAACGAGAAGAGAGAGAGAAAAGACGAGGCUAUUUAUUGGUUGGCU
rnacentral:misc_RNA from 1 species